AGGUGCUCUGAUGAGGAUGCUUUAUUAUUUCUAUGUCUGGACAUCUGAGAUCAAUGUCUAUGAUUGUAUUAUGCAUCAUUCUGAGCUCU
rnacentral:snoRNA from 1 species